UACGUAGGGGGCAAGCGUUGUCCGGAUUUAUUGGGCGUAAAGAGCGUGUAGGCGGUUAGGUAGGUCCGUUGUGAAAACUCGAGGCUCAACCUCGAGACGCCGAUGGAAACCAUCUAACUAGAGUCCGGAAGAGGAGAGUGGAAUUCCUGGUGUAGCGGUGAAAUGCGCAGAUAUCAGGAAGAACACCGGUGGCGAAGGCGUUCUGCUAGGCCGCAACUGACACUGAGGGACGAAAGCUAGGGGAGCGAAUGGG
rnacentral:rRNA from 1 species